AAGGGAAACAGCCCAGACCACCAGCUAAGGUCCCAAAAUAUAUGUUAAGUGGAAAAGGAUGUGGCGUUGCCCAGACAACUAGGAUGUUGGCUUAGAAGCAGCCAUCAUUUAAAGAGUGCGUAAUAGCUCACUAGUCGAGUGACACUGCGCCGAAAAUGUACCGGGGCUAAACAUAUUACCGAAGCUGUGGAUUGUCCUUUGGACAAUGGUAGGAGAGCGUUCUAAGGGCGUUGAAGCAUGAUCGUAAGGACAUGUGGAGCGCUUAGAAGUGAGAAUGCCGGUGUGAGUAGCGAAAGACGGGUGAGAAUCCCGUCCACCGAUUGACUAAGGUUUCCAGAGGAAGGCUCGUCCGCUCUGGGUUAGUCGGGUCCUAAGCUGAGGCCGACAGGCGUAGGCGAUGGAUAACAGGUUGAUAUUCCUGUACCACCUAUA
rnacentral:rRNA from 1 species